AUAGGGUGUAAUGUAUUAGAUUUAGAUUCUAAGAAUAAGAAGUUGAUCUUUUUCCUCUGUG
rnacentral:tRNA from 1 species